rnacentral:rRNA from 1 species
UACAGGGGGGGCAAGCGUUGUUCGGAAUUCCUGGGCGUAAAGGGCUCGUAGGCGGCCAACUAAGUCACACGUGAAAUCCCCAGGCUUAACCAGGGAACUGCGUGUGAUACUGGAUGGCUUGAAUUCGGGAGAGGGAUGCAGAAUUCCAGGUGUAGCGGUGAAAUGCGUAGAUAUCUGGAGGAAUACCGGUGGCGAAGGCGGCAUCCUGGACCGACAUUGACGCUGAGGAGCGAAAGCUAGGGGAGCAAACGGG